rnacentral:rRNA from 1 species
CCCUUAGAUGUCCUGGGCCGCACGCGCGCUACACUGAUGCAUGCAACGAGUUUAUAACCUUGGCCUGAAAGGUCUGGGUAAUCUUUUGAACGUGCAUCGUGAUAGGGAUAGAUUAUUGCAAUUGUUAAUCUUGAACGAGGAAUUCCUAGUAAACGCGAGUCAUCAGCUCGCAUUGAUUACGUCCCUGCCCUUUGUACACACCGCCCGUCGCACCUACCGAUUGAAUGGUUUAGUGAGAUCCUUGGAUCGGCCCUGUCGCGGCUGGCAACGGCCGCGUCGGCGCGUCGAGAAGACGAUCAAACUUGAUCAUUUAGAGGAAGUAAAAGUCGUAACA